UCCGAUAUGAAAUCUGAAUGUC
rnacentral:siRNA from 1 species